rnacentral:rRNA from 1 species
CCUACGGGCGGCAGCAGUAGGGAAUAUUGGGCAAUGGGCGCAAGCCUGACCCAGCAACGCCGCGUGAGGGAAGAAGGUUUUCGGAUUGUAAACCUCUGUCCUAUGUGACGAAGGAAGUGACGGUAGCAUAGGAGGAAGCCCCGGCUAACUACGUGCCAGCAGCCGCGGUAAUACGUAGGUGGCAAGCGUUAUCCGGAUUUACUGGGUGUAAAGGGAGCGCAGGCGGUACGGCAAGUCUGAUGUGAAAGCCCGGGGCUCAACCCCGGUACUGCAUUGGAAACUGUCGAACUAGAGUGUCGGAGGGGUAAGUGGAAUUCCUAGUGUAGCGGUGAAAUGCGUAGAUAUUAGGAGGAACACCAGUGGCGAAGGCGGAUUACUGGACGAUAACUGACGCUGAGGCGCGAAAGCGUGGGGAGCAAACAGGAUUAGAUACCCGUGUAGUC